rnacentral:rRNA from 1 species
CUGGCGGCAGGCCUAACACAUGCAAGUCGAACGGUAACAGGAAGCAGCUUGCUGCUUGCUGACGAGUGGCGGACGGGUGAGUAAUGUCUGGGAAACUGCCCGAUGGAGGGGGGAUAACUACUGGAAACGGUAGCUAAUACCGCAUAAUGUCGCAAGACCAAAGAGGGGGACCUUCGGGCCUCUUGCCAUCGGAUGUGCCCAGAUGGGAUUAGCUUGUUGGUGAGGUAACGGCUCACCAAGGCGACGAUCCCUAGCUGGUCUGAGAGGAUGACCAGCCACACUGGAACUGAGACACGGUCCAGACUCCUACGGGAGGCAGCAGUGGGGAAUAUUGCACAAUGGGCGCAAGCCUGAUGCAGCCAUGCCGCGUGUAUGAAGAAGGCCUUCGGGUUGUAAAGUACUUUCAGCGGGGAGGAAGGUGUUGUGGUUAAUAACCGCAGCAAUUGACGUUACCCGCAGAAGAAGCACCGGCUAACUCCGUGCCAGCAGCCGC